UGUUGCUGGUGUUAUUAAGGUAAGUAACAGUUUGUAUUUGUUGUAUAUGGUGUGUUAAAGGUAAGCAACAGACAUAGUUGUACUCAGUUGUAUGUGUUUGAAUAUGCAGAAUAUAGUUGAUGAUAUUGCUGCUGAGGAAGAGGAAGAGGAUAGGGUUAAUGAUGUUGCAGCUGAUACAGAUGAGGAUGAUGAUGAUGAGGAAUCCCAACCACUGCCGCCAGAGAGCAUGUACUUUAGUCCAACUGAGUACAACAAGGUAUGUAAGGUAGGGAGUAGGUGUAGAGUUGGCCAAACAGUGGCCAUGAUAGAGGCAUUUGAUGAGGAAGUUAGUUGGUUUAGGAAUCAUGCUCAGUUUAGGCAUAUAUUCCACAUGCCUAAGGAACCAAAUCACAUGAUUCAAGGCAUGUGGAUGCUUAUGCUUUGCACUGCUCGCACGGAUAUGGAGAAUGAGUGUUGGUUUGUUGUGAAUGGAGUACCUAUAAGGUACUCCUUGAAAGAGCAUGCUUUGUUAACCGGGUUGGACUGCCAUGAGUACCCAAAGAAUCAUGAGAAGAAGGGUAGUUUGAGGUUUGUCAGAAGGAUGUUUGGGAGGACAGACCUAAUCAAAAUCAAAGAUGUAGAAAAGAAGUUGGCAGCUAUUAAGAGUGAGAAGUGUUUGGAUAGGAAGAAGUUGAUUAUUUUGUUGUUUUUAUGUGAGGUUGUGAAGGCUGAUUCUAAGGGUGAUGGGAACAUAGAGCAAUUCCUGUUAAGGAUUGUUGAUGAUGUUCAUGCUUGUGAGACAUUCCCGUGGGGAAGGUAUUCUUUUGAGCAAUGUAUGACAGGGAUCCGGAGAAUGAUGAAAAACUUGAAAGGUUCGGUGAAACCAAAAGCACAGAGCAGCUUUUUUGGAUUCAUCACUCCUCUUGAGGUAAAAACUUGUGAAUAUUGUAAUGAGUUACAGUGUUAAAGUUAUAGUAUUAAAACUGUAUUAUUGUGAAUGUGUAGAUUUUUGCAUUUGAGUGCAUACCACAACUUGGAAGGCGAUUCAGAGAAGCUGUUCCCGCAGCUAAUGACUGUCCAAGAAUGUGCAAAUCUAAAUUCACUGACAGUUGCAUGAAGGGCGUUACCUUGGAUGAAAUAAACCAAUCCCUUGGUGAAAUUAAGGUUAGCUUUUGGUGCCUUUACUUCUCUUAGUAUGCAUAUGUAUUGAGAUUGAUGCUAUGUGUAUUUGACAGGAUAUCUCAAGCAUCUUGGAACCUGAUAUGGAUGAGAAAGAGAUGUUGUCUGGCCUUGUUGAGAAAGAUGUUGAUGAAGGGAUGGGAGAGAGCAGCUGAUCAGAAAGAAGAAGAAAAUCUGGUGGAAAAGUCUAUACCAGAUGGACUUGCAGGCUCGGGGUUUUGGUGAUGUUGUCCCUGAAGUGGCUGAGAGGCUUGGUGAUGUUAAAGAAAGUGAUGGUGAAGUCCCUGAGAGGCUUGGUGAUAUCCUCUCAUUACAGUCAGCUGUGGACAAAGGAUUUGCGAAGAUCAUGGAGAAGUUGUCUGAGAUGGAUAGCAAAGUGAGUAUGCUGGAUGGGAGAGUGAAAGACUUAGAGGGUUAUGUAUCAGUCCAGCUAGAGAAAGAACGGUACAAUGAGUAUCAUCCAGGGACUUCAAGUGAUUUUGUGCCAACCUAUUGUACACCAACUACUAAUCAACCAAUAGCGAGUCCGACAAAGGCUUUGGUCCUUCACAGUGGUUUCACAGACCCUAAGCCAAUCCAGAUUCAAGAAUUGAGUGAUGAAGGUGAUCAGGAGCAGCUGGCUAGGAAAGAGAAGGAGAACAAGAAGAAGAAAGCAGUGAGGCCGAAGCAUAGUGGCCCUACAAUCCAGACCGGGAAAAAGAGACAAAGGAAGGCUUCCAGGUUUCAGGCUGAAGAGUUUACAGCAGAGGGGAAGGGGAAGGGGAAGAAGCGGCAGAAGAAAUAGGCAUGGACACACGGGUACUUUAUGAGAGAUCACUCUUUAUGAGUAAUUGCUUUUGUGUAGGACAAAACUUAUAUUUUCUGAGUAUUUUGCGGUUAUCUUUUAUUAGGAUUCAAAACAUUGUACUAUCUUUUGGUUGUGUUGUGGUUUAGGUGCAUUUUUUGUA